GCAAAAGAUAAGAAAAGAAAUAAAAAAAGGAAAAGAAAGAGAAAAGAAAAAGAAAGGAAUGAUAAGAGGAUAUUUUUUUGGACAGAGGAGAGGAAGACACGGACAAGGGAGAAGAGAACAGAAAACAAAAGAAGAAAGAAGCAGCUUAGCUGCCUGGCUGGGAAGAAAAAGGAAUAAAAAAAUAUAUGAAAGAAGAAUAAGAGGAGGACAGGAGCACAGCGCCAGGGGGGAGAAAAGAAAGCUGCCUUUGCAGCGAGAAAGAGAAGAGAGGCACGGACAGGAGAGCAAAGAGAGGCAGGUCAGAGGUCAGAGGAACGAGGAACAGAAGGCGCGGGGAGAGAGCAAGGCAGAGAGCAGGGAAAAAAAACAGAAGGAGCAAAGCUGCCUUCUCUCUCGGUUAAAUCUUUCCAAACUUAUAUUUUAUUUCUGUUUUAAUAAUGUGUAACUAAAUUUAUUUUGGCUAGAGGUUAAUUCAAAGCCAUGAAUAUAUUUGUAAUAUGAAUUGAUUACCUUCAGUUGUGAUUUCUGAGUUGUGAUUUAAUUUGCUUAACUGCUUGAUUGAUAACUUAUUUUUGUAUGUCGAUUAAGAAUGCAUACUUAAUUUACAUGCAUGAAUUUGACGCUAGAAUAUAAGGGAGUUUCACCUAAUCGUUAUACUUAUAUUCACAAGUAGUGAAGGUUGCUAGUCACAAUCACGUUAAGUAAACUCUUGGCAUAAGUUUCAUGCAAAUCAUAGUAACGAGUGCCUCGUCAAUGCUUAUGUUUUUCAUAGAACUUAAUGAUUCUUGCUUGUAUCUCUAUUAUGCAAUUCAUGUAGGGAACUUGUAGGGAAUGUUUUGAAUUGUUGUAUGCGUUUUUCCGUCCAAUUCAAUAACUUAAGGAAAACUUGAAGAUUAAAAAAAAGUGCUGUUCACGGUUAAUCUGAAGUAUUGAGAUUUACAAUUUAUUGAAAGAACAACUGAAAAUCAAUUUAGGUUGCAUAUGUGUCAUGUGUGGAGAAGGACCCUCUAGCUAGUCCGUCACAUAUCAUUUCACCUUAAUUUCAUACUUUUGUCAAUUCUGUAAUUUAAUUAAGUUUAAUUUACUUCUCGUCAAAACCAAACCCCCCCCAUUAUUAAAUUAUAUUAUUUAGUUAGUUUUCAUUGUUGUUAGUCUUUUAAUUCAAUUUCCGUCCAUUUCAGUUCCUAAUGUCUCAAUUGAUUGUUUUCAUUAUUUUGAGUCAUUCUAAGUGUGUUUCGAGUUAUUAGAGUUUUUAGCCUAGUUUUGUGUC
rnacentral:lncRNA from 1 species